rnacentral:rRNA from 2 species
GCAUCACUGGUGUUCGGGUUGUCAUGCCAAUGGCACUGCCCGGUAGCUAAAUGCGGAAGAGAUAAGUGCUGAAAGCAUCUAAGCACGAAACUUGCCCCGAGAUGAGUUCUCCCUGAGACUUUGAGUCUCCUGAAGGAACGUUGAAGACGACGACGUUGAUAGGCCGGGUGUGUAAGCGCAGCGAUGCGUUGAGCUAACCGGUACUAAUGAACCGUGAGGCUUAACCUUACAACGCCGAAG